UGGGAACUACCAUGAACUACUUACUAAA
rnacentral:piRNA from 1 species